UUUGUGUACGGUCCUGUAACUUGUCAGGAGAUUAGUAUGGUUUUAUGGAUCAAGGAACUAUGAUCAAAAGACUGAGUAUAAUUGUAAAAUCUCAGUGACAGGGCAAGGAAGGGGGAAGAAGAUGUGAGAGAUGAAAGUCAAGAAAGACGGUUCUUUCAACACAUGGGCAGCCACCACACAAUCCUUGACAGAUCGGGUAAGGAUCCAGUGGCAUGGAGUACAAGAUGACUGGGCACCCUCUACUGCUGCAGCCUUCCUCUACCUUCACUGCUGUUGUGAUAUGUCAUCUUCUGCCAUUUCCACUGUUGAGAGCAAUUCUUUUAAAAAAUUAGUCAGAUGCACAGGAAGAGAGACCUGUCUGAACAUUUCAUGGAGGCAGCUCGGUUCAAGUUCUGAAGCCCAGUCCAAUGGCAAGAGACAGAGUUUUUGGCACAGCUCAGCAUGUCAUGAAAAUCAGCUUCCCCUCCAUGAACUCCCUACAGUUCUCGCUGCUACAGUAAAGUGGCCAGCAUAACCAAAGUCUCCACCAAGCCCAAAUGUUCUCUCUUCUCUUGGUCGCAUUAGACAGAAGAUAUAAAAGCUGGAAAGCAUGAACCAUCAGGCAAAAGGACAGCUUCCAUGCUGUUGUUAUUAUUCUAUGCCAGUCUCUUGGCUGUGGUUCCCAAAACACCUCCACUUCCCAAAAUUGUUGAGGGACAACCCACCUAUACAGUAUGGUGGCUUUUGAACACUGCAUUGUUUGAGGUAAAAGGCAGCACGUCGUGGUUUGGGAGGGAUAUGGACAAGAAGAAAGAAGCUGGAUUCCUUCUUCACGGGAUAUUGAGGACUCUACUUUGAUAGAGGGCUUUCACCAGACCCAUUCUGAUCACCCUUGUCUAUCAGGAGCCGACCAUGGAGGAGGAGGGCGGAUCUGUGAUGGUCCUGACUGAACAGUGGCAGGCAUCCAAGUUACAGCGAUCUAUUCCCCUGGAGUAUGGUUCACUGCCACUGAUGCUUUAAAACAAUCUGCCAAUUAUUGCCUGCUACAUUCCUUCAUAGAAAGGCCUCGGGCUGAGCACUCAGUGCUCAAUCACAGGAGUUCCAUUUCUUGUGCUCACCUUUGUGAUUUUGUCUUUCGAUUUUGCCUGUGUCAUCUUAUUCAUUCUGAGUCUGCGUUAAUUCUAAACCUUACUCCAAACUUAGGUUCACCACCAUCCAUAGCUCUCUUGUUAUAGUAUGCCUGCAAGAAAAUGAAUCUAUGUAUAUAUAUAUAUAUGUACUUUGAUAAUAACUUUUAUAAAUUAAUCUGUAUGAACUGUAUGUAAAACAAGCUCUUCACUGUACCUCAGUACAUGUGAUAAUAAUAAAGCAAUUUAUCAUGUACCCAUGACCACCUGUACAGAGACCAAUAGGUUUGUUCAGAAGAUUUUGUGGUGGAAACAUCAUCAGUGAUAUUUUUCCUGUGCUCUGACUGGGAUGGGUAAUCCACAUCUUAAAAACAUACAAGCUGAGCAGGAAUCACAGCUGCUCAACAGGCCACUGCUUUCCCUGUGUUUCAAAAUAAAAAUGAGACAAUGGACUCGGUCAUUUUGCAAACAAAUAAGAUAUAUUAAUUUCUCAUGUGCAAAUAAAAUAUGGUUCAUUACUACUGAAUUUACUAGAGUGCUUAAAAUGUUGGGCUGCAGUCAGAAAAAUGGCUACCAUCAGUGACUUUAGUAAUAGAUUAACUACUAAUAGUUCUACUUUCUCAAAAUACUGGUGAUGAGUAGUCCCCAAUAUAUUGAUAUCCUAAUCAUAACACAGUUCUUUUCAGUUCCAGACAUUUAUAUUUCAAGUAAACAGCAUAACAAUAGUUAAAACUAAACAAAACUUAAAGCUAAUGCUUUUAUUGUCAGAAUAACACUGCGUGUGUUAUUCUAACUGACUUGAGAAGCAGAUCUCAUGACAUGUGUAAAGGUUUAGAGUCCUGAUGAAGGGUCUUGGCCCAAAACAUCGACUCUGUAUUCGUCUCAAUAGGUGCUGCCUGACCACCUGAGUUCCUGUAGGACUUUGUGUGUAUUACUCUGGAUUUACAGAAUCUGCAAAAUCUUGUGCUUUGGUUUAAUAGUUGACAGGUUUCCUGUAGUAUUGAGGAAAUUCACUAUCAUUUUAGUAUGCCAGCAGUCGUUUGUUACCUCAAGCACUCAAGACCUCAACUUCACGUGCAGUAAUUACUGCAGUUCAACAGACUAUGACAGAUAAUUUCUUCUCAUUUCUAGUUGUUUUGCAAAGAACUAAGUCAAUUGGCUGUUUUCUUUAUGUUCAAACUAAGAGAAAGCAGUGGCCUUGAGCAGCAGUGAUCCCUGCAGCCUUGUAUGGUUUGAAGAUGUGGAUUACCCAUGCUAGACAAAAUCCAGGAAAGGUACACCAAUACUGUCUUGGGAAAAACCCACAACCCGUUUUCAGCAUCUUCUCCACAACAAUAUCCCCAAUACUGUGGCUGCAUUGGUGGUUCCUAACAUACGACUCCCUGAAUCAGACAUUUUAUUCCAGAGCAAGGGACUACUAGGAGGACAGAUAAAAUGCUUCUAGGAUGUUCUCACAGGAAUCCCUGAACAGUGACUGAUGAGAAUGAGGAAAGAGCAUUCUAGAAGGCACUGAGAACCUGAGUCUUUUUGCCAACAGAAUGCUGAAACCCAAAUUAAAAUGGCAGAAAAAGCUCAUCACAACAUUUAUGGCUUGUGUACUAUCCCACCCACCCAUCACAUCAAGUAUAUUUUGCUCUACCUAUGGCACCAUUUAGAAACAUAGAAAACCUACAGCACAAUACAAGCCCUUUGGCCCAUAAAGUUGUGCCGAACACGUCCCUACCUUAGAAAUUACUAGGCUUACCUAUUGCCCUCUAUUUUACUAAGCUCCAUGUACCUGUCUAAAACCCUCUUAAAAGACCAUAUUGUAACCGCCUCCACCACAGUUGCUGGCAGCCCAUUCCACGCACUCACCACUCUCUGAGUAAAAAACUUACCCCUGACAUCUCCUCUGUACCUACUCCCCAGCACCUUAAACCUGUGUCCUCUUGUGGCAAUCAUUUCAGCCCUGGGGAAAAGCCUCCGACUAUCCACGUGAUCAAUGCCUCUCAUCAUCUUGUACAUCUCUAUCAGGUCACCACUUAUCCUCCUUCACUCCAAGGAGAAAAGGCCAAGUUCACUCAACCUAUUCUCAUAAGGCAUGCUCCCUAAUCCAGGCAACAUCCUUGUAAAUCUCCUCUGCACCCUUUCUAUGGCUUCCACAUUCUUCCUGUAGUGAGGCCACCAGAACUGAGCACAGUACUCCAAGUGGGAUCUGACAAGGGUCCUAUAUAGCUGCAACAUUACCUCUCGGCUCCUAAAUUCAAUUCCAUGAUUGAUGAAGGCCAAUACACCAUGAGCCUUCUUAACCACAGAGUCAACCUGCGCAGCUGCUUUGAGCGUUCUAAGGACUCAGACCCCAAGAGCCCUCUGAUCCUCCACACUGCCAAGAGUCUUACCAUUAAUACUAUAUUCUGCCAUCAUAUUUGACCUACCAAAAUGAACCACUUCACACUUAUCUGGGUGAACUCCAUCUGCCACUUCUCAGCCCGGUUUUGCAACCCACCAAUGUCCUGCUGUAACCUCGGACAGUCCUCCACACUAUCCACAGCACCUGCAACCUUUGUGUCAUUUGUGGAUCUUACACUGACUUUAUCUGCCAUGCAGGAUGGAUGCAAGUCAUUCCUGAGAUCAAUAAGAAAUCUCUUUGGAAUGAUAUGUAAAAUCAUUAAACUUCGAAAUGAACUUCCUUUCAACUGACAGAUGCAUACCGUAAAAUCAUUGCUGUAUAAUACAAGUGCCCAGAACAAGGUAAAUGUAAAAUCACUAUUAAUUUUAUGGAAAGAGCAAUUAAUGGAAGAAACUAAGAGAAGUAAUUGACAAAUAAUUCCAUUUCCAAACAAUCGCAUUACUUGUAUUCAGUUUAAUGCAUUUUAUUUUCUGCUUGAUGAAUUCUUUCUCCAUCUACCAAAAGAUCUCUAAGCACCUGUCUUUAAGGUUAAAAAAGAGUUUUUUCUGUUUUUGACUGGACAAUAGACUCAAUCUUUGCCAAACAAUUAAAAAUAAAAGAAAGCACCGUGGUUCACACGGUGCUAUUGCAGAUCGGGGUGUUCCAGAGUUCAGAGUUCAUUUCCAGUGCCGUCUGUAUGGAGUUCAUACAUUUUCCCCAUGAACCACAUUGUGUUCCUCUGGGAGUUCUGGUUUACUCCCACAGUCCAAAGCUGUACUGGUUAGUAGGUUAAUUGGUCAUUGUAAAUAAUCCUGUGAUUAGGUUAGUGUUUAAUAGGUGGGUUGCUGUACAAUGUAGCUCAUUGGGUUGAAAGGGCCAGUUCCAUGCUGUAUCUCCAAAUAAAUAUAAAUAAAUAAAAUUAUAAGUGCAGAUGCUGAAGAAAUUAACCACAUAACAAUUACAGCACGGAAACAGGCCAUCUUGGCCCUUCUAGUCCAUGUCGAACUCUUACUCUCACAUCUGAAAUCUGAAAUAAAACAGAAAAUGCUGGAAACACUCAGUAGGCCAGGCAGCAUUGGUACAAAGAGAAGUAGUGAAAUUUUCAGGCUAAAGACUUUUCCCUUUAUUUAAAAAAAAACCUGUGCUCCUGCAUAGUUUUCAUUCAUUCAUUUACAGGAUGUGAAUGUCACUAGUAGAUGUGGUAUUUACAAUCCAUUUCUACAAUUAAUGCUUUACAGGGCUCUCAGAAAUUUGUUAAAAUGUAAUCAUCUGAAGUUAUCUGUAAAUCAGAUUAGUCAAGUCAAGUCAUUUUUUAUUGUCAUUUCAACUAUAACUGCUGGUACAGUACACGGUAAAAACGAGACAAUGUUUUUCAGGACCAUGGUGCUACAUGAAACAAUACAAAAACUACACUGAAAUACAUAAAACAACUAAAAAAAAAACUACACCGGACUACAGACCUACCCAGGACUGCAUAAAGUGCACAAAACAGUGCAGGCAUUACAAUAAAUAAUAAACAAGACAAUAGGCACAGUCAAGGGCAGUAAGUUGGUGUCAGACCAGACACUGGGUAUUGAGGAGUCUGAUGGCUUGGGAGAAGGAACUGUUACAUUGUCUGGUCGUGAAAGCCCGAAUGUUUCGGUGCCUUUUCCCAGAUGGCAGGAGGGAGAAGAGGGAGGAGGGAUUAGGAAAGGGUAUUCAUAAACCAAAUGGAUUUUAAUAACAAUUCUGUCAUCACAUUCUUCCACUACUAAUUCUAAUAUUUCCAAUUCAGAAUCAGAAUCAGGUUUAAUAUUACCAGAAUACAUUUGUUAACUUGCAACAACAGUAGAAUGCAAUGCAUGAUAAUACAGAGAAAAAAUUGUGAAUUGCAGUGUGGAAAUAUAUCUGUAACCAUGAAGUCUUCAUGAAUUUGUAACUUUUGUAAAAUGUAAUGUGACAGGAUGAAAAAACUUUUAUGCAUGUUUUAUGGGAAGAAGCUGUUUUUUUUAAUGACAGGUGAUUUGUUUUAUGGCAGGAGGGGAUGUUUUGACAACAGUUGAUAGGAUGGAGCUUCUAAAGAAUAAAUGUGUAAACGAGAUAAGAAUAAAGCUAACAGAGAAAUGAAAUGUUAUGGAAUGGAGCAACCUAAUUACUGUUCUCUUGUAAAAACAUAAAAGUACUUUGGUUGAAACAUAAGAUCGGAAACUAUUUUCCAGGAUAAUGUUUGGAGGUAGUUUCAAAAAUAACAAGAGUAAAUGCAUUAAUCAUGUAAUCCACUCUGAAUUUGUUGCAGUUUGUUUCUGUAUAUUAGAAGAUCCGCUGAACCUACAAUGUUAAAUAUAAUAGUUAAAUUAAAUAAGUAGUGCAAAAAAAGAGAGACUAGAAAUAAAAAGUAGUGAGGUGUGUUCAGGGGUUCAGAAACUGGAUGGCAGAGGGGAAAAGUCCUGAAUUGUUGAGUGCAUGCCGUCCUCCAGGCUUCUGUACCUCCUUCCUGAUGGUAGCAGUGAGAAGAGGGCAUGUCCUGUGUGGUGGCAUCGUGCCCUUAAUGAUAGGUGUCACCUUUUUGAGAUACCACUCCUCGAAGAUGUCCUGGAUACUCCAGAGGCCAUAAAGGAGCUGACUAAUUCUACAACUCUCUGCAGCUUACUUCGACUCCCUGCAGUAGCCUCCCCAACUGUCCCCCCAUACCAGACCGUGAUGCAGCCAGUUAUAACGCUCUCCAAGGUACAUCUGUAGAGAUUUGCUUGUGUUUUAGGUGACAUAUCAAAUUUCCUCAAACUCCUGAUGAAGUAUAGCCAUCGAUAUGUUGGCUACAGGUUAGAUCCUCAGGGAUAUUGAUACCCAGGAACUUGCAAUUGCUCACUUCUGACCCCUCUAUGAAGACUGGUGUGUGUACCCUUGUCUUACCUUUCUUGACGUCCACAAUCAGUUCUUUGCUUUUACUCAUGUUGAGUGCAAGGUAGGUGCUGCAACUCCUCUCAACUAGCAGGUAUAUCUUACUCCUGUAUGCCUUCUUGUUACCAUCUGAGAUUCUGCCAACAAUGGUUGUAUUGUUAGCAAAUUUAUAGAUGGCAUUUGAGCUGUGCCUAGCCAGUCAUGGGAGUAGUGAGAGUAUAGCAGUGGGCUAAACACACAUCCCUGUGGUGCACCAGUGUUGAUUGUUAGCGAGCUGGAGAUGUUAUUUCCAAUCUGCACAAAUUCUCAAUUUAAUUAAAUGUUUGAGUUCAGUUGUUCAGCAAUCAUAAAUCUAGGCCAAAUAAGUGAACCACAUUGUGCUAAGCAGCUUAAAAACAGGAAAUAUAUUGGGGAGAGAUCAGCACAUGAAGAUAUGUUCCAGAAAAAUAACGUCUUUCUCUUUCACCUUGACUGAUAUCUUUGCCUUUGGAAUGUAUAGUUUCAGCAUUUACAAUUUAAUUUACUCAUCCAGUUUUGGUCUCUUUAUAUGAAAUAUAAUUUCAAAGCAAACUAAUUUUGUGGUUGUAUGUAAAUUGUCAAAACAAUGCAGAGAGCCAAUGCAGUUUUAGGCAAAAUAUCUUAUUGCUAAAAAAGGGCUCUUCAACUUAGAAUGGCUGCAUAGAAAUUAUGGUUUGCAGUAAGGUAAUUGAGGAUGUCCGUGCUCACUGACAAAAAAACUGUUGAGAUCUUUUCUCAAUGAUCAACAAAACUAAGCUUUAACUAUAUACCCAAUCCUACUUACUAAUAUUGAGCAAUUUUAUUUUAAGUAAGCUAAAUUGUUUAAAUUUCCCGUGUGAUACAAACUUAAUUAACUGAUACUUAUACAGCUGUGGUCCAUGUUUUAUCUCACAACACCAGCUGGAAGCUAAACCUUCAGAGAAAAGAACAUUGUGCACAUUCAUCCCCAUGUCAUAGUCGUCUGGGAGACAUUCUUAGAUGAGUAGAACAUUUGGGUCUUAUUCUCUUUCAGUUCAGCAAAAACUUUCAAAUUUUACAUUUCAUGAACUUAUGUAUCACCAAUUUGUCCAAAUCAUUAUUUUGAUGUCCUUUAUCUGCCAGAAUGCCACCUGCGAUAUCAAAUUGGCAUCUCUAUGUUAAUCGGUGCACAGCGGCACAGAACGGUGCCAGCGUGGUUUAGCCUUUAACGCCAGCUCAAUUUUUUAAAAAAUAUUAUGUAUAAUUUUGUUGAAGUAAACAUAAGCUUAGUGCCUCUUCAGUAACAUUCUAACAGAAUUUAUUUAAUUUUAAAGAUCAGUUAAGUGAAUACUGUACAAAAAUUCAUUUCCAUGUGUAAAGGACGGUUUCUUCUUUUUUCUUUGUUACUGUUGGGAAAGGGUUUCUUUGUUUUGUUUACAGGAAUGUUUCUUUGUUGCGAGAGAGUGCUGGAAGCUUGUUUGUUAAAAUUUACUGAUAAUGAGAAUGGUAUUCCUUUUUAAACCAAAUGGGGAUUAAUGUUCUUUCUUCUGAGUCUGUAAGCUUUUGUUGACGGGCUUUUGGGCAGAUCGGCGCUAGGGGGUCGAGAGAGAGGACGCAAUGCUGUAAACUGGGCGAGGAUCGGACUCCAAGCGGGGGUCCGAGGCCCAGAGGUACUCUGAGGAGGGGGGAUGAAGCUAGAUGUGCUUGGUUGACCACUCGGAGGGCCCUGAGCUGCGAGUCGAGGAGUUCGGAGGGUCCUGAGCUGCGAGUCGAGGAGUUCGGAGGGGAUCGAAUGGUGGCCAGAAGACUUCAGUAAUUGAGCUCCAAUGGUUGUGCACGAAGUGGUUUGGACUUUGAUAAGUUUGGCGCCUUUUCUUUAUUUUUUCUCUUCAUAUAUACUGUAUCGUUAUUAAUCACUUAGUUAUAGUAACCUUUAUAAAUUGUACUCAUUUAAUCGCUUAUGGUGUACUGUCUGUUUUUGGGCGAGGCGGGGACA